UACAUGUGGGGCAAGCGUUGUUCGGAAUUACUGGGCAUAAAGGGUGCGUAGGCGGCUUGUUAAGUCAGGGGUGAAAUCCCACGGCCCAACCGUGGAACUGCCUUUGAUACUGGCGAGCUUGAGUGCGUGAGGGGUAACCGGAACGAGUAGUGUAGCGGUGAAAUGCGUAGAUAUUACUCGGAAGGCCAAAGGCGAAGGCAGGUUACUGGUACGCAACUGACGCUGAGGAGCGAAAGCGUGGGGAGCGAACAGG
rnacentral:rRNA from 1 species